rnacentral:rRNA from 1 species
GACGAACGCUGGCGGCGUGCCUAAUACAUGCAAGUAGAACGCUGAAGAGAGGAGCUUGCUCUUCUUGGAUGAGUUGCGAACGGGUGAGUAACGCGUAGGUAACCUGCCUUGUAGCGGGGGAUAACUAUUGGAAACGAUAGCUAAUACCGCAUAACAAUGGAUGACACAUGUCAUUUAUUUGAAAGGGGCAAUUGCUCCACUACAAGAUGGACCUGCGUUGUAUUAGCUAGUAGGUGAGGUAAUGGCUCACCUAGGCGACGAUACAUAGCCGACCUGAGAGGGUGCUCGGCCACGCUGGGACUGAGACACGGCCCAGACUCCUACGGGAGGCAGCCGUCGGGAAUCUUCGGCAAUGGGGGCAACCCUGACCGUGCAACGCCGCGUGAGUGCAGAAGGUUUUCGGAUCGUAAAGCUCUGUUGUAAGUCAAGAACGGGUGUGAGAGUGGAAAGUUCACACUGUGACGGUAGCUUACCAGAAAGGGACGGCUAACUACGUG